rnacentral:rRNA from 1 species
UACGGAGGAUGCAAGCGUUAUCCGGAUUUAUUGGGUUUAAAGGGUCCGUAGGCGGGUCUUUAAGUCAGUGGUGAAAGCCCACAGCUCAACUGUGGAACUGCCAUUGAUACUGGAGAUCUUGAGUGUAGUAGAAGUAGGCGGAAUAGGGCAUGUAGCGGUGAAAUGCAUAGAUAUGCCCUAGAACACCGAUUGCGAAGGCAGCUUACUAUGUUACAACUGACGCUGAGGGACGAAAGCGUGGGGAGCAAACAGG